GACGAACGCUGGCGGCGUGCUUAACACAUGCAAGUCGAACGGUGAAGCGCCUUCCUUUUUGGUGGGUGUGGAUGAGUGGCGAACGGGUGAGUAACACGUGAGUAACCUGCCCCCUUCUUCUGGAUAACCGCAUGAAAGUGUGGCUAAUACGGGAUAUUCUGGGUCUGUCGCAUGAUGGGUCUGGGAAAGAUAUUGUUUCGGUGGGGGAUGGGCUCGCGGCCUAUCAGCUUGUUGGUGGGGUGAUGGCCUACCAAGGCGGUGACGGGUAGCCGGCCUGAGAGGGUCGACGGUCACACUGGGACUGAGACACGGCUCAGACUCCUACGGGAGGCAGCAGUGGGGAAUAUUGCACAAUGGGCGCAAGCCUGAUGCAGCGACGCCGCGUGAGGGAUGGAGGCCUUCGGGUUGUGAACCUCUUUCGCCAGUGAAGCAGGCCUGCCUCGUUUGUGGGUGGGUUGACGGUAGCUGGAUAAGAAGCGCCGGCUAACUACGUG
rnacentral:rRNA from 1 species